rnacentral:lncRNA from 1 species
CUUUGCCAAGGGUAGUUUGGUUCAAUUUGAACCAAACUACGAAAUGUUAGUUUGUGAGCAUCCCACCUGGGCCAUUCUUAUCUAUGUGUAUCAUAGUGCAGUGCCCAAGGAUUCUUUGGGAAUUCACACNUUUUGGAAAGCAAACAAGGGAUGCACUUGGUUUACAAGAGGUUUUUCAGUAUGCAUUUUCCAAGUGCUUACAAUUUACUUGAGCUGCAAAAGUUUGCUUUGGCUCAAAAGAUGGAACACAAAGAAUAAACCUAUUACACAGAGUUCCACCUUUUUAAUCUGCAGAAACUGAAGCCAAUUAAUAGUCUUUACGUACCUUGGACUUGACGCCAUGCUGAAACUCAAGAGACCAUCAGAUUUCUUCAUCAUUGGGCUUUGCUGUCCCCUUUGGCAAUUUAAUAAAUGAAAAGUGUAUGCAGAUAAGAAUGAAUGAUGCAUUUCUGUGGCGUGCGGAAGGGGUGAGUUGGCAGUUCAUCAGAUUGAUGUGCUUCUCAUCUGGAUAUUUUAUUUUAAAAGUGCCAUUAUUUUCAUAGCAAAGAAUGAAACCACAGAUGAGAAAACAUAGUGAUGAAGUGAGAAAAGAUGAUAGGAUAUCCACUGCCCAAUGCUUUGAGAUGUUGGGGGAAUGUUGUCUUAAACCUAAUUUUAAAUGUAGACAUCAUUGCACAUACUGAUUCAGGCUGUGUUCAGACAUAACAAAAGGGGUGACUUGGAGGUGCUUCUCAGAGACAGUGUGUGGCACUCAUGUUCCCAAGUCUUCUCUAAUCCACCUUUUCUAGCAUAGAACGUUCAUGAGAGGGGGGAGGGGCAGACUGGUGUGUGAACAAUCCCACCUUGAAGCCAUCUCUGAGCCACCUCAGAGAUGCUUUUUUUGUUGUGUCUGAUCAGUAUUUUCCUAGCAUCUGACCCAAGAAGACAAAUUUUCAACCCAAAAUGAAAGGAACAAAGGGAGUAACUAUAUGCUGUACGUACUAUUUAUUUAUCUGUCUGCAGGCAUCUGCUGACUGUGCCUGGGGGUUUGAAGAAAGGAGGAGGGGAAAAAUGGAGGUUUGGGGGCUGAAGGAGAAGAGCAACAGGGCUCGUAGGGGAACGGAUUUGAAGCUGCAGGACUCAGAAGAGAGAAGGGGACAGAUGGGCAGGCUUAAGAGCUGUGUGUUGAGGAGAGGCGAAGCAGGGUGGGCACUGCCAUUUCUAAACUGGGUUCCUCUGCUCUGGGAAGUGUUAGAGGCUGUCAGUGGAGAACGGAGCCCGUGCUACAGCAGAGUCCAAGACAAAACAUUCUCUUCAUCUCCAGAGGCCCGUCUCUCUAUCUUCACGUUUUGCCACCAGUGUUUAUCCUUGCUGUCAAAGGCAAACAACCCACUGGAUCUACUCUAAGGCCAGAGCCUUAGCUAUGUAACAAGUAAAAAC